rnacentral:lncRNA from 1 species
UCACAAGCUAGCUAGCUUCCAAAGUAAUCCAAUUUGAUUUCAUAGAAUCAGACUAAAGUGAUCAACAUUUAGGCUUGUCUUGUCCAUGCAAAUUCAAAUUAGUGUGCAGUAAGAUGAUUAGUUCGUCUUCUAUUUUUAGUUACUACUACAAAAAUUAGGAGAAAAAGAUUAGUGAGUUACAUCACACAUAGCUUAGAUCCAGCUGCUAGGAAAAGGAGGCUUCAAGAAUUCACCUUGAAGGUGCGCGCCAGUGCGCCACUAAAUUCACGAUGGUGAGAUGCAAUUGUAGGCAAGAAGAAGGAUCCAGCACACCAUUAUUACUGGUGGAAUGUCGAGCUUGGCAGACCCGCAACGAGAAAUUAUAUGUAAAAUCAGUGGGCUGGUGCAAAACAUCUUCUCUCUAACUCUAUGCGGAGGGACCUUCAGGGCAGGGAGGGAUUAGGUAUUUAGUUAAUGAUGAACUAAUGUUUAAUUAGAGUUGUCCCAAAAGUGGAUCAUUCAACAACAACAAUCCAAUUUUGUUAGGGGCAAACAUCGUAAUAUGAUGAGUAAUGCUACAGUUGUGUUAUUUUGUUAAGGAAGGAUGAA